rnacentral:rRNA from 1 species
UACGUAGGGUGCGAGCGUUAAUCGGAAUUACUGGGCGUAAAGCGUGCGCAGGCGGUUUUGUAAGCCAGAUGUGAAAUCCCCGGGCUUAACCUGGGAAUGGCAUUUGGGACUGCAAGGCUCGAGUGCGGCAGAGGAGACUGGAAUUCCUGGUGUAGCAGUGAAAUGCGUAGAGAUCAUGAGGAAGACCAGUGGCGAAGGCGGGUCUCUGGACAGUUCCUGACACUGAGACACGAAGGCCAGGGGAGCAAACGGG